UGACACUGCCUCUGUAGUGGUACUGCCC
rnacentral:piRNA from 1 species